AUUAGGCAUGGUGGUACAUGCCUGUAGUCCCAGCUACUCGGGAGGCUGAGGUAGGAGAGUCUCUUGAGUCCAGAAGUUCUGGGCUGCAGUGUGCUAUCCCAGUGGGGUAUCCACACUAAGUUUGGUAUCAAUAUUAUGGUGACCUCCCAGGAGUGGGGGACCACCAGGUUGCCUAAGGAGGGGUGAACUGGCCCAGGUCAGAAACAGAGCAGAUCAAAACCCCUGUGCUGAUCUGUUUUGGGAUUUAGACUAUUCUUUUUUUUUUUUGGUACUAGGGAUUGAACUCAGGACCUUGCGCUU
ensembl:misc_RNA Metazoa_SRP Metazoan signal recognition particle RNA